rnacentral:rRNA from 1 species
UACGUAGGGUGCAAGCGUUAAUCGGAAUUACUGGGCGUAAAGCGUGCGCAGGCGGUUUUGUAAGUCUGACGUGAAAUCCCCGGGCUCAACCUGGGAAUUGCGUUGGAGACUGCAAGGCUAGAAUCUGGCAGAGGGGGGUAGAAUUCCACGUGUAGCAGUGAAAUGCGUAGAUAUGUGGAGGAACACCGAUGGCGAAGGCAGCCCCCUAGGUCAAGAUUGA